rnacentral:rRNA from 1 species
AAUCCUGUAGUCGAAAAUGUUGUCUCUCUUGAGUGGAUCCUGAGUACGACGGAGCACGUGAAAUUCCGUCGGAAUCUGGGAGGACCAUCUCCUAAGGCUAAAUACUCUCUAGUGACCGAUAGUGAACCAGUACCGUGAGGGAAAGGUGAAAAGCACCCCGGAAGGGGAGUGAAAUAGAACCUGAAACCGUGUGCUUACAAGUAGUCAGAGCCCGUUAAUGGGUGAUGGCGUGCCUUUUGUAGAAUGAACCGGCGAGUUACGAUUUGAUGCAAGGUUAAGCAGUAAAUGUGGAGCCGUAGCGAAAGCGAGUCUGAAUAGGGCGUUUAGUAUUUGGUCGUAGACCCGAAACCAGGUGAUCUACCCUUGGUCAGGUUGAAGUUCAGGUAACACUGAAUGGAGGACCGAACCGACUUACGUUGAAAAGUGAGCGGAUGAACUGAGGGUAGCGGAGAAAUUCCAAUCGAACCUGGAGAUAGCUGGUUCUCUCCGAAAUAGCUUUAGGGCUAGCCUCAAGUGAUGAUUAUUGGAGGUAGAGCACUGUUUGGACGAGGGGCCCCUCUCGGGUUACCGAAUUCAGACAAACUCCGAAUGCCAAUUAAUUUAACUUGGGAGUCAGAACAUGGGUGAUAAGGUCCGUGUUCGAAAGGGAAACAGCCCAGACCACCAGCUAAGGUCCCAAAAUAUAUGUUAAGUGGAAAAGGAUGUGGCGUUGCCCAGACAACUAGGAUGUUGGCUUAGAAGCAGCCAUCAUUUAAAGAGUGCGUAAUAGCUCACUAGUCGAGUGACACUGCGCCGAAAAUGUACCGGGGCUAAACAUAUUACCGAAGCUGUGGAUUGUCCUUUGGACAAUGGUAGGAGAGCGUUCUAAGGGCGUUGAAGCAUGAUCGUAAGGACAUGUGGAGCGCUUAGAAGUGAGAAUGCCGGUGUGAGUAGCGAAAGACGGGUGAGAAUCCCGUCCACCGAUUGACUAAGGUUUCCAGAGGAAGGCUCGUCCGCUCUGGGUUAGUCGGGUCCUAAGCUGAGGCCGACAGGCGUAGGCGAUGGAUAACAGGUUGAUAUUCCUGUACCACCUAUAAUCGUUUUAAUCGAUGGGGGGACGCAGUAGGAUAGGCGAAGCGUGCGAUUGGAUUGCACGUCUAAGCAGUAAGGCUGAGUAUUAGGCAAAUCCGGUACUCGUUAAGGCUGAGCUGUGAUGGGGAGAAGACAUUGUGUCUUCGAGUCGUUGAUUUCACACUGCCGAGAAAAGCCUCUAGAUAGAAAAUAGGUGCCCGUACCGCAAACCGACACAGGUAGUCAAGAUGAGAAUUCUAAGGUGAGCGAGCGAACUCUCGUUAAGGAACUCGGCAAAAUGACCCCGUAACUUCGGGAGAAGGGGUGCUCUUUAGGGUUAACGCCCAGAAGAGCCGCAGUGAAUAGGCCCAAGCGACUGUUUAUCAAAAACACAGGUCUCUGCUAAACCGUAAGGUGAUGUAUAGGGGCUGACGCCUGCCCGGUGCUGGAAGGUUAAGAGGAGUGGUUAGCUUCUGCGAAGCUACGAAUCGAAGCCCCAGUAAACGGCGGCCGUAACUAUAACGGUCCUAAGGUAGCGAAAUUCCUUGUCGGGUAAGUUCCGACCCGCACGAAAGGCGUAACGAUUUGGGCACUGUCUCAACGAGAGACUCGGUGAAAUCAUAGUACCUGUGAAGAUGCAGGUUACCCGCGACAGGACGGAAAGACCCCGUGGAGCUUUACUGUAGCCUGAUAUUGAAAUUCGGCACAGCUUGUACAGGAUAGGUAGGAGCCUUUGAAACGUGAGCGCUAGCUUACGUGGAGGCGCUGGUGGGAUACUACCCUAGCUGUGUUGGCUUUCUAACCCGCACCACUUAUCGUGGUGGGAGACAGUGUCAGGCGGGCAGUUUGACUGGGGCGGUCGCCUCCUAAAAGGUAACGGAGGCGCUCAAAGGUUCCCUCAGAAUGGUUGGAAAUCAUUCAUAGAGUGUAAAGGCAUAAGGGAGCUUGACUGCGAGACCUACAAGUCGAGCAGGGUCGAAAGACGGACUUAGUGAUCCGGUGGUUCCGCAUGGAAGGGCCAUCGCUCAACGGAUAAAAGCUACCCCGGGGAUAACAGGCUUAUCUCCCCCAAGAGUUCACAUCGACGGGGAGGUUUGGCACCUCGAUGUCGGCUCAUCGCAUCCUGGGGCUGUAGUCGGUCCCAAGGGUUGGGCUGUUCGCCCAUUAAAGCGGUACGCGAGCUGGGUUCAGAACGUCGUGAGACAGUUCGGUCCCUAUCCGUCGUGGGCGUAGGAAAUUUGAGAGGAGCUGUCCUUAGUACGAGAGGACCGGGAUGGACAUACCUCUGGUGUACCAGUUGUCGUGCCAACGGCAUAGCUGGGUAGCUAUGUGUGGACGGGAUAAGUGCUGAAAGCAUCUAAGCAUGAAGCCCCCCUCAAGAUGAGAUUUCCCAACUUCGGUUAUAAGAUCCCUCAAAGAUGAUGAGGUUAAUAGGUUCGAGGUGGAAGCAUGGUGACAUGUGGAGCUGACGAAUACUAAUCGAUCGAAGACUUAAUCAA